AGGGGUGUAGCUCAACUGGCAGAGCAUCGGUCUCCAAAACCGAAGGUUGCGGGUUCAAGUCCUGCCGCCCCUGCCA
rnacentral:tRNA from 1 species